rnacentral:rRNA from 1 species
GACGAGCGCUGGCGGCGUGCUUAACACAUGCAAGUCGAACGGAAAGGCCCUGCUUUUGUGGGGUGCUCGAGUGGCGAACGGGUGAGUAACACGUGAGUAACCUGCCCUUGACUUUGGGAUAACUUCAGGAAACUGGGGCUAAUACCGGAUAGGAGCUCCUGCUGCAUGGUGGGGGUUGGAAAGUUUCGGCGGUUGGGGAUGGACUCGCGGCUUAUCAGCUUGUUGGUGGGGUAGUGGCUUACCAAGGCUUUGACGGGUAGCCGGCCUGAGAGGGUGACCGGCCACAUUGGGACUGAGAUACGGCCCAGACUCCUACGGGAGGCAGCAGUGGGGAAUAUUGCACAAUGGGCGGAAGCCUGAUGCAGCAACGCCGCGUGCGGGAUGAGGGCCUUCGGGUUGUAAACCGCUUUCGCCUGUGACGAAGCGUGAGUGACGGUAAUGGGUAAAGAAGCACCGGCUAACUACGUG